AGCCGACUUUCCACUCAGUAGGGAGCCUGACAUGGGGCUCGAUCCCAGGACCCUGAGAUCAUGACCUAAGCUGAGGGCAGACACUUUACCUCCUGAGCCACCCAGAUCCCAAUAAUUUUUUAAUUGCAAUAAAAACAUGUCACUAAAUUCUCAUCAUAAAUGAAGAUACUCAAAGUAUAAAUUUUAAGCAUUAAACAUGCAGAAGUAGCACUAGAACUUUAAAGAAAGAUGUAUUAGACAACUUAGAAAAUGUAUUUUUGCCAAGAACUGGCUGACAUUUAGUUCUCUUUGAAUAUUUAGAACCUAAUAUUGGUGUGGUUUUUAGAAAAAUUUGCUUUGCCUAUCUUCUUCAGUGUCCAGUCUGCUGUUAACAUCCAGUGAGUUCUUAAUUUCAGACACUGUGUUUUUUAAUUUUAGAAUGUCCAUUUGAUGUUUUUGAGAGUCCAGUUCUCUUCGAAAUCAUGUUCUUUUCACUCGUACUUGUCCAUCUUUUCCUUUUAUUUUACUGAACAUAUUAACCAUAGUUAGUUAAUCAAUUAAUUUUUAAAGAUUAUUCAUGAGAGACACAGACUGAGGGAGAGAGAGAGGCAGAGACAUAGGCAGAGGGAGAAGCAACAGACUCACUGUGGGGAGCCUGAUGUGGGACUCUAUUACAGGACCCCAGGAUCCUGUAGAUCCUUCUCCUUCCAGCAGAAUUUUGUCUCCUGAGCCCUGGGAGACUUUUAUCUGUAUCUGUUGAUAGUGGAGUAUUGGCUUAACACCAGCUACAACAGCUACUCAGAAGUAAAAGUCUUCAACUACUUUUGCUUGAUAUGCAAGCAGAAAUAUAGUUGCUGAUCCAAAGUUUGGAGAUUUGAGCUUGAGUCCUGUCAUUCCCCUUAAUGGUGAUACAACCUUGGGCAAACCAUUUAGAUUUUGUGCUCUAUAGGUAUUUUCCUCUUGUAAGCUUACUUUGGAGGCCUCUUUGGAAGUUGAUAGGAACAUGUCAUGCCUAAUGAAGCUGCAGCUGCACCAAGUUGCAGUUGAUUCUUGGAGCAACACUGUCCCUUUUGCACCUGCAGCUGUGUCAGUCUCAUCCUAACACCUGGCAUCAUGAAUUAUCCUCUCCUUUAUUCAUACUUCCAGGCAAGA